UACGUAGGGUGCGAGCGUUAAUCGGAAUUACUGGGCGUAAAGCGUGCGCAGGCGGUUGUGCAAGACAGAUGUGAAAUCCCCGGGCUUAACUUGGGAACUGCAUUUGUGACUGCGCGGCUAGAGUGUGUCAGAGGGGGGUGGAAUUCCACGUGUAGCAGUGAAAUGCGUAGAUAUGUGGAGGAAUACCGAUGGCGAAGGCAGCCCCCUGGGAUAACACUGACGCUCAUGCACGAAAGCGUGGGGAGCAAACAGG
rnacentral:rRNA from 1 species